CAAACCAAACGACGCUGACGCAUCACCGCCAUCACGCACGCGGUUCUGAUCGAAAAUCGAAAUCAAACAUUCGAGGUAUUUGAAAUCUGAAUUCUGAUCGAAAUCAAACAUUCAAGCGCGCUGCUGCAUCAUCAAACGCGGUUCUGAUUGAGUCGCCACUCGCCACCACGUUGAUAGAUAUCUGUUUGGCAUAUUGAGUUUAAGAAGGGCCGGCUAAACCUAAAGUGACUUCAUCUUGAGAAAUAAUGCCUCCCGUUCCUAAAUACAAACACCUAUCCGGCCAUCAAAAACGUAAGAGGAAGAAGAUAGAGGAAGAGAAAAGAAAGGCGGACGAAGUAAAACAAAACCGAAUACACAAGUUUUUUUCAAAAGAAACUAAAAGUUCUAGUUCUAACUUGGGUGAUGAUAAUGUGGGUGAAGACAAUGUGAAAGGAGAUGAAUGCAUAUAAAGUGUUGUUGACACUUUACAUGCAGUACUAUAUCUUCCAACGUAGUACUACUUAUCCUUAUGCUAUAAAUGCAUAUAAAGUGUUGUUGACAAUUCCGGUAACCGUGUCAUCGGCAGAAAGAAGUUUCUCAAAGUUGAAGUUGUUGAAGACCUAUUUACGUUCUACAAUGUCACAAGAAAGGCUAAACGGGUUAGCGACAAUAUCUAUUGAAAGUGAAAUAUUAGAUACUAUGGAUUACAAGGAGUUGAUCGAGAGCUUUGCAUCAAAAAACGCUAGGAGAACCACACUGUUUGCUUAGCAAGUAAGUUCGAUACUUUGAUCAUUUUUGCUACACUAUUUUUGUUAAUUUGUUUUAUCUAUUUCAUAACAAUUAUCGUAGUAUUAUGAAUUUUUAGUAUUUAUAUAUAUAUGAUUGAAUGAUUGAUGAGUUUAUGUUAUAUGAAGAUUUGCGAAUAGGGUCCAAAUUUUUUAUCUCGAACAGGGCCAAAAAAAAUUUUGUGAUUUUCGGA